ACUGGCCUAGGGAAGGAAGAAUAUAGAGAAGGCUCUUUAGAGUAGGUUCCCAUCAGUCUCAAAGUAGGAAGUAUCCUGGUAUCCAGGGGCUUAGAGAAGGGAGCAGGCGAACAUUCUAAGCAGAGGAGAUUAUGAGUUCAAAAACCUAAGGAUGGUCAAGCAUGGAUCCUUCAGGAAACUUCGAGGUCCUCAUGGGCGGAGUAAUGGAGCUUCGUCACACAAGCCUGGCAGCAGCCCAUCAUCCCCGCGGGAAAAGGACCUUCUGUCCAUGCUGUGCAGGAAUCAGCUGAGCCCUGUCAAUAUCCAUCCCAGUUAUGCACCUUCUUCCCCAAGCAGUAGCAACUCAGGCUCCUACAAAGGAAGCGACUGUAGCCCCAUCAUGAGGCGUUCUGGAAGGUACAUGUCUUGCGGUGAAAAUCAUGGUGUCAGACCCCCAAACCCAGAGCAGUAUUUGACUCCACUGCAGCAGAAAGAGGUGACAGUGAGACACCUCAAAACCAAGCUGAAGGAAUCUGAGCGCCGACUCCAUGAAAGGGAAAGUGAAAUCGUGGAGCUUAAGUCCCAGCUGGCCCG
rnacentral:sRNA from 1 species